AUUGAACGCUGGCGGCAGGCCUAACACAUGCAAGUCGAACGAGUGGCGGACGGGUGAGUAAUGUCUGGGAAACUGCCCGACGGAGGGGGAUCACUACUUGAAACGGUAGCUAAUACCGCAUAUCAUCGGAUGUGCCUAGAUGGGCUUUGCUGGUAGGUGGGGUAACGGCUCACCUAGGCGACGGUCCCUAGCGGGUCUGAGAGGAUGACCAGCCACACUGGAACUGAGACACGGUCCAGACUCCGACGGGAGGCAGCAGAGGGGAAUAUUGCACAAUGGGCGCAAGCCUGAUGCAGCCAUGCCGCGUGUAUGAAGAAGGCCUUCGGGUUGUAAAGUACUUUCAGCGAGGAGGCGUUACUCGCAGAAGAAGCACCGGCUAACUCCGUGCCAGCCGCCGCGGUAAUUC
rnacentral:rRNA from 1 species